UGGGGAAUAUUGCACAAUGGGCGCAAGCCUGAUGCAGCCAUGCCGCGUGUAUGAAGAAGGCCUUCGGGUUGUAAAGUACUUUCAGCGGGGAGGAAGGGAGUAAAGUUAAUACCUUUGCUCAUUGACGUUACCCGCAGAAGAAGCACCGGCUAACUCCGUGCCAGCAGCCGCGGUAAUACGGAGGGUGCAAGCGUUAAUCGGAAUUACUGGGCGUAAAGCGCACGCAGGCGGUUUGUUAAGUCAGAUGUGAAAUCCUCGGGCUCAACCUGGGAACUGCAUCUGGUACUGGCAAGCUUGAGUCUCGUAGAGGGGGGUAGAAUUCCAGGUGUAGCGGUGAAAUGCGUAGAGAUCUGGAGGAAUACCGGUGGCGAAGGCGGCCCCCUGGACGAAGACUGACGCUCAGGUGCGAAAGCGUGGGGAGCAAACAGG
rnacentral:rRNA from 1 species